rnacentral:lncRNA from 1 species
CAUAUCAAUAUAUUAAGUAUAAAAUUAUAUCCUAGAUUAAUUAUAAUGUGUCAGCCAUAUUGGCUUUUAGGAUAUAUAUCUAACAAUCUUCCACUUGGACUAAAGCCAAUUGAUCAUAAGUCUAAAUCCCAUCUUUUCAAGGUGGACUUUCAUUUUUGGUUGGCUCAGCUACUUAGUUAGUGGGUCUGCCAUGUUAUCCGUGG